UACGGAGGAUGCAAGCGUUAUCCGGAUUUAUUGGGCGUAAAGCGUCCGCAGGUGGUUUUCCAAGUCUGCUGUUAAAGCGCGAGGCUUAACCUCGUACAGGCAGUGGAAACUGGAUGACUAGAGUAUGGUAGGGGUAGCGGGAAUUCCCAGUGUAGCGGUGAAAUGCGUAGAUAUUGGGAAGAACACCAGCGGCGAAAGCGGCACUCUGGGCCGGUACUGACGCUGAGGAGCGAAAGCGUGGGGAGCAAACAGG
rnacentral:rRNA from 1 species